rnacentral:lncRNA from 1 species
GCUGUGGUGGGUUUGGGCUGCGCAGGGAGUUGGGGUAGCGGGGGGUGGGGGGAAGGAAAAGACACGAUCGAGAGUAGCUGAGACUUUGUGCCCCCGUUGGAGAGAUGGUUGAGUCCUCGUCAAGGUUGCUGUGGUAUCCCAGAAACACCAUUCACUCCGAGCUGUGACCGCGCACCAUCAACAGCAACAACUCCGCUGCGCCUGGCCAAGGAAUAGGAAUUAGGAGCUCUCCAGAAUAAUAUGAAAGGGAUCUGCAGAGGGGAAAUUCGUGCAAAGGAAUCGAAAUUAGCAGACUUUUGGGAAAAGGGAUGUACUAAAUGUGGCCGGCUGGACUUCAUCCUGGUGAAGAAAAUGGAGAUUAAAAGUGGAUUUACAUUUUGGAACCUCGUCUUUUUAUUGAUGGUUUCAUGCGUGAAAGGAUUUAUUUAUACCUGUGGUGGAACUUUAAAAGGACUGAAUGGCACUAUAGAAAGCCCUGGCUUCCCGUAUGGAUAUCCAAAUGGUGCAAACUGUACAUGGGUUAUAAUAGCAGAAGAAAGAAACAGAAUACAGAUCGUCUUUCAGUCUUUUGCUCUCGAAGAAGAAUAUGAUUAUUUAUCAUUAUAUGAUGGG